GAACGCUGGCGGCGUGCCUAAUACAUGCAAGUCGAGCGAACAGACGAGAAGCUUGCUCCUCUGACGUUAGCGGCGGACGGGUGAGUAACACGUGGAUAACCUACCUAUAAGACUGGGAUAACUUCGGGAAACCGGAGCUAAUACCGGAUAAUAUAUUGAACCGCAUGGUUCAAUAGUGAAAGACGGUUUUGCUGUCACUUAUAGAUGGAUCCGCGCCGCAUUAGCUAGUUGGUAAGGUAACGGCUUACCAAGGCGACGAUGCGUAGCCGACCUGAGAGGGUGAUCGGCCACACUGGAACUGAGACACGGUCCAGACUCCUACGGGAGGCAGCAGUAGGGAAUCUUCCGCAAUGGGCGAAAGCCUGACGGAGCAACGCCGCGUGAGUGAUGAAGGUCUUCGGAUCGUAAAACUCUGUUAUUAGGGAAGAACAAAUGUGUAAGUAACUAUGCACGUCUUGACGGUACCUAAUCAGAAAGCCACGGCUAACUACGUG
rnacentral:rRNA from 1 species